rnacentral:rRNA from 1 species
AGGGAAUCUUCCGCAAUGGACGCAAGUCUGACGGAGCAACGCCGCGUGAGGGAAGAAGGCCUUCGGGUUGUAAACCUCUGUCCUCUGGGACGAAAGGGUUGGAGACAACUGAUGACGGUACCAGAGGAGGAAGCCCCGGCUAACUACGUGCCAGCAGCCGCGGUAAUACGUAGGGGGCGAGCGUUGUCCGGAAUCACUGGGCGUAAAGGGCGCGUAGGUGGUUAUCUAAGUUAGACGUGAAAUCCAUGGGCUUAACCUGAGGCUUGCGUUUAAGACUGGAUAACUUGAGUGCAGGAGAGGGGAGCGGAAUUCCUGGUGUAGCGGUGAUAUGCGUAGAUAUCAGGAGGAACACCAGUGGCGAAGGCGGCUUUCUGGACUGUAACUGACACUGAGGCGCGAAAGCCGGGGGAGCAAAC